UAUUAAAAAAAAUCAUGACAGCUGUGAUGGAAACAGGAAGCUUUAGUACAAUUUUAUAAAUGCAGACAGAUAAUUUGUUGUUUGACAAGGUGGGAUCUUUUUGUGUCAAUAAAAUGUAUUAUGCGAGAAAUGGUGGUGGAAAUGCCUUUAUGAUGGUCCAUUCCAAUAAAUAUUGAAGGUCUUAUUCUAGUGACAUGACGAUUGAUGGUUGACUGCCGUUUGACAAAUAAAAAUAUUCUCGCUCUAAUCCAUAAUAAUCUCAUCAUGUAGACUAACCUACCUGCACCACCUGCCUGCACCGUAUCUGCGAGCUGUUGACUGACUAGAGCACGGUGCAUUUGCUAUUUAACUCAACAGUUUUUAUAUUUUAGCCAUUUAGCUGACACUCUUAUCCAGAGUGACUUAUUGUAGUGAGUGCAGACAUUUUCAAACUUUUCUUCCAUACUGUUUUUUGUAACAGUUGAAAGUGCGAUGGGUUGAAAGUGCGAUGGAAACACAUUGAACUUUAUAGAUGUUUAUUCAGAACAUGAAAACUUAAGCGAAAAAGUACAUUUUGUGUGCACUACGUCAUCACACUGAUUUUUAUCUGCAACAAGUCAGUUUGGUGGAAACACACCACUGGUGGGGAAAUGUGCUUAUGUUCUUCAUGCAGAUUUUAGAAUAUUAGCAUAAAAAUCUGUUGCCAACUGGACGGAAACCUAGCUAUUGUUUAAGGUAGAUUUGUGGCAGUGCUUUUCUAACCAGGGGGGUGUAUGUGUUUCAGAGUAUGUGGGUUUUUAAUGAAAAUAGCUAGGCAGACAACGGUAUACAGUAUCUUUGACAAACAAAAGCAGACAAAGUCAUACUACAGGAGAUGUCAUCCCUUUUAGAGCAGGCCUACACAUAAUGGGUUUAACAGAGAGAGGGAGAGAGGACAAAUUAGUGCCAAGGAAGUGUAUUGGCGACAUCAGGGUUGUGUAAGAAUGCAAGUGAAGUACAGAAAACAUAAGUUGUUACACAAUUGGUGUGACUCAGGCAUGAUUUAAAAGGGAAAAGGAAAGGGGGAUACCUAGUCAGUUGCACAACUGAAAUGUGUCUUCUGCAUUUAACCCAACCCCUCUGAAUCAGAGAGGUGUAGGGGAGCUGCCUUAAUCGACAUCCACGUCUUCAGCGCCCGGGGAACAGUGGGUUAAUUGCCUUGCUCAGAGGCAGAACGACAGAUUUUUACGUUGUCAGCUCGGGGAUUCGAUCCAGCAACCUUUCAGUUACUGGCCCAACGCUCCUACCCGCCGGGCUACAAAAAGCCUGUGUACCACAUGUGCAGCACACGUGGAACCACUCAUCGCCACAUAUCACAGUGGUGUAGGCAUAAUUCUUUGCAUCCCAGGUGAACUGUAAAAAUUGACAACACUUUUUUUGUGUGUAUUUCCAUUCUGACAGACUACAUAAUGAUAACAACACCCAGUCAUCAAACUCAAUGAGAUAAUUUGUGUGUCAGUGUGUGUGUGCAUGUGCAUGUUUGUGUGCUCCUCUCCAGGUAGAGUGCUCCUCUAGGUAGAGUACUCCUCUCUAGGUAGAGUGCUCCUCUCUAGGUAGAGUGCUCCUCUAGGUAGAGUACUCCUCUCUAGGUAGAGUGCUCCUCUCUAGGUAGAGUGCUCCUCUCUAGGUAGAGUGCUCCUCUCUAGGCAGAGUACUCCUCUCUAGGUAGAGUACUCUGCUCUAGGUAGAGUACUCCUCUCUAGGUAGAGUGCUCCUCUCUAGGUAGAGUGCUCCUCUCUAGGUAGAGUGCUCCUCUCUAGG
rnacentral:lncRNA from 1 species